AGCAGCCGCGGUAAUUCCAGCUCCAAUAGCGUAUAUUAAAGUUGCUGCAGUUAAAAAGCUCGUAGUUGAAUUUCGGGACCAUCAUGUCGGUCGUGCCUCGGUACGUACUGGCAUUGUUGGUUUCUCCCUUCUGACGAACCAUGAUGUCAUUUAUUUGGUGUCGUGGGAAAUCAGGACUGUUACUUUGAAAAAAUUAGAGUGUUUAAAGCAGGCUCACGCUUGAAUACAUUAGCAUGGAAUAAUGAAAUAGGACGUUUGAUUCUAUUUUGUUGGUUUCUAGGAUCGACGUAAUGAUUAAUAGGGAUAGUUGGGGGCAUUAGUAUUCAAUUGUCAGAGGUGAAAUUCUUGGAUUUAUUGAAGACUAACUACUGCGAAAGCAUUUGCCAAGGAUGUUUUCAUUAAUCAAGAACGAAAGUUAGGGGAUCGAAGACGAUCAGAUACCGUCGUAGUCUUAACCAUAAACUAUGCCGACUAGGGAUCGGAUGAUGUUAAUUUUUUAAUGACUCAUUCGGCGCCUUAC
rnacentral:sRNA from 1 species